GGCUUCAUAGCUGAGUGGUAGAGCGUUUGCACCGAAAUCGCAACAUGGGUUCGAAUCCCGUUGAAGCCU
rnacentral:tRNA from 1 species